UACGGAGGGUGCAAGCGUUAUCCGGAUUUACUGGGUUUAAAGGGUGUGUAGGCGGGCUGUUAAGUCAGUGGUGAAAUCUCCGGGCUCAACCCGGAAACUGCCGUUGAUACUAAUGGUCUUGAAUCUCGUUGAGGUAGGCGGAAUAUGUCAUGUAGCGGUGAAAUGCAUAGAUAUGACAUAGAACACCAAUUGCGAAGGCAGCUUACUAAGCGAGAAUUGACGCUGAGGCACGAAAGCGUGGGGAUCAAACAGG
rnacentral:misc_RNA from 1 species